CAGAGGGACACACACACACACAGACAGAGGGACACACACACACACAGACAGAGGGACACACACACACACAGACAGAGGGACACACACACACAGACAGAGGGACACACACACACAGACAGAGGGACACACACACACAGAGGGACACACACACACAGACAGAGGGACACACACACACAGACAGAGGGACACACACACACAGACAGAGGGACACACACACACAGACAGAGGGACACACACACACAGACAGAGGGACACACACACACAGACAGAGGGACACACACACAGACAGAGGGACACACACACAGACAGAGGGACACACACACAGACAGAGGGACACACACACAGACAGAGGGACAGAGAGAGAGAGGAAGGCAUUCCUCACGUUGUAGAGCCUGGGUAGCGAGGACACUCUGGAAGACUUGGCUCCAAACGGCCGGGGGGUGAAGCCGGCAGAGAGGCAGGACGAAGAGCCUCUCUCCCCGGCGGUAUCCCCUGGGGAGAGAGGCAGAGAGGCUGUGGGAGCUGGUACCGUUGGUUAGGUUUGAGCCGGUACCGUUCACCAGGUCAGAGGUCGUGGAGAUCCCGUUUGAGAGCAUGGAGAUGGUCUGGUCUCGUCCAGUGGAGACCACGAGAGCUGGGCUAGAGAUGGUCUGGUCUCGUCCAGUGGAGACCACGAGAGCUGGGCUAGAGAUGGUCUGGUCUCAUCCAGUGGAGACCACGAGAGCUGGGCUAGAGAUGGUCUGGUCUCGUCCAGUGGAGACCACGAGAACUGGCCUAGAGAUGCUCUGGGCACGGGUCUGGGAGGAGAAGGGAGAGGCAGAGUCGGGGAAAGCGCCUAAACCUCCAGCUCCGUCUGGCUCCACCGGUGUGUGACGCCGCCUCUCCCCCAGGACGAGGGGCUCUGAUUGGGGCACGGCUCCGGCCGAGGGUCCCUGGUCCUGGAGGGUCAGGCUGGGGGUGGUGAAGGGUUCCGAGGCUCCGGAGCUGUAGGGGGACUCCACGGAGGAGCUGAGGGCCAGCGGGGCUCUGGUGUGGGGUCGGAGCUCCAGGGAACCCUCCUUGACCGAGGCGGGGGCUCUGGUUUGGGCUCGGAGCUCUAGGGAACCCUCCUUGAAAGAAGUGGCGAGAGAGACCUUGUUGUAGCUACUGCUGCAUAGGGACUCUUCAUCCUCUUCCCUGUGGUACCAGAUGAAAAGAGGAGUGGUAACAUAUGA
rnacentral:lncRNA from 1 species